AACGAACGCUGGCGGCAUGCCUAACACAUGCAAGUCGAACGAGACCUUCGGGUCUAGUGGCGCACGGGUGCGUAACGCGUGGGAACCUGCCCUUAGGUUCGGAAUAACUCCCCGAAAGGGGUGCUAAUACCGGAUAAUGUCUUCGGACCAAAGAUUUAUCGCCUUUGGAUGGGCCCGCGUUGGAUUAGCUAGUUGGUAGGGUAAAAGCCUACCAAGGCGACGAUCCAUAGCUGGUCUGAGAGGAUGAUCAGCCACACUGGGACUGAGACACGGCCCAGACACCUACGGGAGGGGGAAGUGGGGAAUAUAGGACAAUGGGCGAAAGCCUGAGCCAGAAAUGCGGCGUGAGUGAUGAAGGGGUUAGGGUUGUAAAGCUCUUUUACCCGGGAUGAUAAUGACAGUACCGGGAGAAUAAGCUCCGGCUAACUCCGUG
rnacentral:rRNA from 1 species